rnacentral:rRNA from 1 species
GAUGAACGCUGGCGGCGUGCCUAAUACAUGCAAGUCGAGCGAAUGGAUUAAGAGCUUGCUCUUAUGAAGUUAGCGGCGGACGGGUGAGUAACACGUGGGUAACCUGCCCAUAAGACUGGGAUAACUCCGGGAAACCGGGGCUAAUACCGGAUAACAUUUUGAACCGCAUGGUUCGAAAUUGAAAGGCGGCUUCGGCUGUCACUUAUGGAUGGACCCGGGUCGCAUUAGCUAGUUGGUGAGGUAACGGCUCACCAAGGCAACGAUGCGUAGCCGACCUGGGAGGGUGGUCGGCCACACUGGGACUGCGACACGGCCCAGACUCCUACGGGAGGCAGCAGUAGGGAAUCUUCCGCAAUGGACGAAAGUCUGACGGAGCAACGCCGCGUGAGUGAUUAAGGCUUUCGGGUCGUAAAACUCUGUUGUUAGGGAAGAACAAGUGCUAGUUGAAUAAGCUGGCACCUUGACGGUACCUAACCAGAAAGCCACGGCUAACUACGUGCCAGCAGCCGCCGUAA